GCCUACUUAGCUCAGAGGUU
rnacentral:tRNA from 31 species